AUUGUCAAUGCAUUACAGACCUAAAUCCCAGAACAACUGUCUAUCUUCAAAAAUAAAAGUCAAGAGAAGACGCAUAGUUCAGUCUGGGCAGCACAAGUGAUGUAGUAACAAGGAAGGUGCACAUCUUACUGCACGGGGAACAGUAUUGGGCGAGUGUCCUGAAAGGUUAGGGACCAGCAGCGCUGAGCAUGUAAACAUGGAAGGUGCACAUCUUACUGCACGGGGAACAGUAUUGGGCGAGUGUCCUGAAAGGUUAGGGACCAGCAGCGCUGAGCAUGUAAACAUGGAAGGUGCACAUCUUACUGCACGGGGAACAGUACUGGGCGAGUGUCCUGAAAG